rnacentral:rRNA from 1 species
UACGGAGGGGGCUAGCGUUGUUCGGAAUUACUGGGCGUAAAGCGCACGUAGGCGGACCAGUUAGUUGGGGGUGAAAUCCCGGGGCUCAACCCCGGAACUGCCUCCAAAACUGCUGGUCUGGAGGUCGAGAGAGGUGAGUGGAAUUCCAGGUGUAGCGGUGAAAUGCGUAGAUAUCUGGAGGAAUACCGGUGGCGAAGGCGGCAUCCUGGACCAUUACUGACGCUGAGGCGCGAAAGCUAGGGGAGCAAACGGG